rnacentral:rRNA from 1 species
GACGAACGCUGGCGGCGUGCUUAACACAUGCAAGUCGAGCGGUAAGGCCCUUUCGGGGGUACACGAGCGGCGAACGGGUGAGUAACACGUGGGUGACCUGCCCUUAGCUCUGGGAUAAGCCUGGGAAACUGGGUCUAAUACCGGAUAUGACUCCAUGACGCAUGUUGUGGGGUGGAAAGCCUUGUGCGGCUAGGGGAUGGGCCCGCGGCCUAUCAGCUUGUUGGUGGGGUGAUGGCCACCAAGGCGACGACGGGUAGCCGGCCUGAGAGGGCGACCGGCCACACUGGGACUGAGAUACGGCCCAGACUCCUACGGGAGGCAGCAGUGGGGAAUCUUGCGCAAUGGGCGAAAAGCCUGACGCAGCGACGCCGCGUGAGGGAUGACGGCCU